rnacentral:rRNA from 1 species
GACUACAGGGGUAUCUAAGCCUGUUUGCUCCCCACGCUUUCGUGCCUCAGCGUCAGUUAUGGCUUAGCGAGCUGCCUUCGCAAUUGGUGUUCUGUGUCAUAUCUAAGCAUUUCACCGCUACAUGACACAUUCCGCCCACCUCAACCAUACUCAAGACUAGCAGUAUCAAUGGCAGUUCCACCGUUGAGCGAUGGGCUUUCACCACUGACUUACUAAUCCGCCUACGCACCCUUUAAACCCAAUAAAUCCGGAUAACGCUUGGGUCCUUCGUAUUACCGCGGCUGCUGGCACGAAGUUAGCCGACCCUUAUUCUUACAGUACCAUCAACCCCCGACACGUCGGGGGGUUUUGUCCCGUAUAAAAGAAGUUUACGACCCAUAGGGCCUUCAUCCUUCACGCGGCAUGGCUGGAUCAGGCUUGCGCCCAUUGUCCAAUAUUCCUUACUGCAGCCCCCCGUAGG